ensembl:lincRNA
UAAUCCUGUCCUCACUGCCCCCUGCCUCAGAGGGAGCAAGCCCUUUACCUCAAUGCCAGUUGAAGAUCAUUGCAAAUAUAUUAAAUCUGAUGGAAAUCUGCCGCAUUAAAUGUUAGUUACAUAUGAACUGACUUGUUACUAACUAGGUGAUACACUGUUGUGAUUUGUAAGCAUUUCAUUAGAUUUUUAUUUUAUGGUUUAUUUUUCUGUUAUGAUAAUCCAUUUUUAUUUUUCAGGCCUCAAACAUUUUGUGGGACAUUACAAAACUCACGUCCUCUGUGCCCAUGGAACUUUGUGACUCAAACAACCGUGACUGAGGUGCCAGGCUCGCUGGCACUGUGGUAAGUGACAUCGCCUCCAUGUGACCACACAUGUACACCGAAGGAUGAGCUGCAGUGUCAGCAGGCUUCCAGGACACUGCUCACAACAUAAAUGCACAUCUCCCCACCCUCCCCUGUUACAAUGGGCUUCCUGGGCCAUCUGCCUUCCUCUUACUCACAGGUUCCUCUCCACUCCACACUCCUCUGCUUCCAGGACCUUGGGCCCAGAAAGGUCAACCCAGAGCCUGAAGUGGUAGAAAUUCUGGAUCCUGGGUUCUCCAUGGCCGAUCUAGGGCAUGUGUUCAAAUCCUUGGUGCUGCUCAGAACCACAGAAGGGCUGGAACUUUUUGAUCACACCAAAGAGGAACGUUUGCGUCAGCAAACUGAAAGCAGAAAUCCCAACUGUCAGAGAUGCUUACACUUUGUACGCCGCCUAUUCCUUAAAAACUAAGCAGACCUAACUCACCGACUGUCUGACUAAUUAGCAGAAUGUUCUUCAGGCAGACAGAACUCAGACGCCUCCAACAGAAUAGUGAGAUCAGCUCUUUGGAACGGCGAUUCCCCCCUCUUCUCUCUUACAGGACAAAAUGUCUGAGUGGAGCGCUUCGUGGCCGACUUUCACCAGGGUCUUAAAUAUAAUUUCUUCAAGGUGUUGAGAUGAGUGGAUGAAGAAAAAGAGAAGAACUAGAAGCUCUCUUGGGAGUUCUCUUCAUCUUUUCUGCUGAUUUCUGUCCUGUGUUGCAGGGAAGGUACAAGAAACUAAAAAUCAAUAGGAUUCAGGUUUACAUUAAAAUUACACAUCUGUUCCAUCCCUCACCUGCAUUUACCUAGUUUCCUGGAGGUUCCAUUUAUAAUGCUAGGCUCUAGCUACCCCGAAAUAAGAAAAUCAAAAAGAAACACACAGCUAGCAUAUAUGUGACAUAUAAAUGAAUCUGACCAACCAUCAUGAAAGGUAUUCUGUCCCUUUCCUAUACACUAUACACAGGCCAUGUGUACAUUACCCACACUGGUCUACACUUUUCCCAAAAACUCUGAGCUGAAGACUCUCUGUGACCCCCAAGAAGCAAUAUUUUAUUUUUCUGAAUCAUACCCUUGAAUCGGCACUUAUAUCAUACAGGCACAAGGAGAAGGCUUCUCUGAAACUAGAGGACAGAGAAUUGUGGGCCUUAAGUGGGGGUUGUUAUAAGUGCACCUUCCUCUCUCCAGAUGACUUGCCUAGUCCCUGAGGCUAGGGGACCAGGCCCUGAGCCUCUUAAAGCCCCCAGAGAGUCCAGUUUAUGGCAGGCCUCCAGUGGACAGGUUAGAAGUCAGAGCCCUAGAGAGAGAGCAGUUCGGGGAGAUCGCUAGGAUGAGAACAGAGACAGAGAAGCCAAACGCGGAGGAACAUUUAAAGCCCGAGAACAGGCUGCUUCUGCAGUCCCUGUGAUAAUGCUGACUUGGAUCUGAUUUUGUCAUGGAGUUCCAGUAAGGCGGGAACAAAGCCCAAAGCAGUGUCAGGUGGCUGCAGCAGGGACACAAGGCCACAGCCGGCUGGCCGCUAAUGAACUGGCUGGAGCGAAACCAGAGAGGGUUCAAAGACAGCGGAGAGGGGCACCUGCCAAGCCCUGCCAAGGGCUGAUAUACCUGGG